ACCGGUGAAAUACCCCCCCCCCCCCCCUCCCGCGGCUAGAAACGCGUUUCGUCAGAAAUUCCCAAUCAAACAUCGCGAUGCGAAGAUUAUUCUGUCUUUUUUCUUUUAUUAUUUUGACAAAGAAAGGAAAAGGCGGCUACCAAUCGUUAGUAGCUUAUAACGAACCCAACUUGCCUUCCUUGCACAUACGCUGUUUUUACCUCGAUCGACGCAACUGUUAGAAGAUAAGAUUGGUUACGCUUGAAAAAACGAAUCAUACGAAUAUAAGCAUGUAGAGGAGGAAUUUUUCAUGUCUUUAAGUUGCUGAUUUUAUAGUUUUCUUAGGAGCGCGUAGAUUUGAAAAAAAAAAUUUGGAUUUUUCACAGAGCUCGAAAGAACUGUGCGAUAAAAAAUGCUUUUUCCAAUUCUAUUUCUAUCGCAGAAAAAUUAUCUUGCUCCGUUACCAUUUUGUCAGAAACGAUUCUUCCUUUUCCAACUUUCGAUCGAGCUUCGUUAAUUGCGUCGUUCGAAAAUCCCAGAGUUCGGAUUUCGGAGAAAAGGACGAAAUUAUAAUAUUCGAGAACUCUGACGAUUCACCGCUCCUUUGCCAAGACGAAUCGUACAAUUUUCUCAAGCCGAUGGUUGCUCGAUAAAAAAAAACAACCACCGAUCGACUCGAUCGGUUGGUUACUUUGCUUGCGGCAGAUUGGUGGCCAUGACCCUAAACCCAUUAUGAUCUGCUACGUAAUGAACCUGUUGCAGAAGCCCGUUUGGAUCGAUAUAGCUAUAAGCACCCCUGGUCGUCCCAUCCAAAGAUCUAGAUUCUGUUUUUGCGCUCGAGUCUCCGGUAUAACUGUAAUCGUAUUGGCCUAAAGAAUCCUGAGUGUGAUGGAGGGCGCUGUGCAAUAGUCUGUACGGUAAAACCGGAAGUACAUAGGGCGCUGGGACAGUUACAGGCGUCUGG
rnacentral:misc_RNA from 1 species